rnacentral:rRNA from 1 species
AAUAGCCUAACGGCUGAACCAGCGACUUGGAAGAAAGUCUAGCAAAAGCUAAGUUGUUUUACGUAUAUAAUAAAAUAGUUUUUUUAUAUUAGUUUUAUUAAUUUAACCUUAGUUAUUUAAUUUUAAAGUUUUUAUCUAUAAAAGUACUGUUUGGUGAACUAAGAAAACAGUAUGGGAGAAAAAAAAAAAUUAUAGCAUAAUAAAACAAAAUAUACUAUAUAUAUUGGCAAUACCGAUUUACUCGGUUAAAAUUCUGGAUAGGUUUUGAUAAUGACAAUACCUGUCUAUAUGUCUUGACCAAAUUACGUGCCAGCAGUCGCGGUAAUACGUUGAAGACUAGUGUUAUUCAUGUUAAGUCGGUUUAAAGGGUAACUAGACGGUAAACAAAGCCAUAAAAGGGACUAGUAUACUUGAGUUUAAUAUAAGGGAGCUCUAAAGUACUGAUAGGAGAAGAGAUGAAAUUCUUUGAUACCAUAUAUGGCACAGGUUUAGGCGAAAGCAUCUCCUUAUGUAAUAACUGACGUUCAGGGACGAAGGCUAUGUGCAGCAAACAGGAUUAGAUACCCUGGUAGUUUUAGCAGUAAAUGAUGAAUGUUAUAGGAUAGAAUUUUUUAUUCUAUAAAUGAAAGUGUAAGCAUUCCACCUCAUGAGUAAUUUGGCAACAUUGGAAUUGAAAUCAUUAGACCGUUUCUGAUACAAGCAGUGAAGUAUGUUAUUUAAUUUGAUAAUCCGCAAAAAACCUUACCACAUUUUGAAUAUUACUAUAUAAUUUAAGUUAUACAAGUAUUACAAGUGCUGCACGGUUGUCUUCAGUUAAUGUCGUGAGACUUUGGUUAACUCCUUUUAAUUAACGUAAACCCUAAUUCUAUUUAUUAAUAGAAUGGAUCCCUUUUAUAUUGGAUAUGAUACAUGGGACUAAGACAAAUCAUCAUGGCCUAAAUAAUGUGGGCUAUAGACGUGCCACUUAUGCCACACAAAGGGAUGCAAAAUUGUGAAAUUAAGCUAAUCCCCUAAAACUGGAUAUACUAUUAAU